AAAAAAAAGAAGAGUUAUCUACCCAGCAAUCUGUUUCCCUGUCUGGGGGAGGGGGUUGCAUGCAGGCUGGGGGACAAGACGGGCAGCUGGAGGUGCCAAGAUCAAUGGCCUCAAGGGGUGCUCCCAACUGGGUGCUUUUUCCCAUACAACCUAGCGCUAUGCAGGUGCUGAAGGUGACACCUCUGCUCUUGAGAUCUGGCUCUGAGUAGGCCUGAGGUGCACGCCCCUCUGCUCUCUCCUCCCCUCUCCCUUCCCUCCCCAGAGAGAAAACACUCACUUGCCAGGUUUAUCCAGAAGCCCCCCCGCAGGGCACUGGCAGCACAUCAGGAUGUACUCCUGCAGGGCCUGCUGAUGGAACAUCCAGUGGCUCAUGCUAAGGGCAGGGUCACCUGUUGAAGGGCAAAGGGUCAGUAAGGGCCCGGCAGAUCCAGCCAAGUAUCAAUGACCUAAUUCCACUUUCUCACCUGGGGGAAUAGUCAAGGUUUCCUGCUCCCCUUCCUCUUCCAUUCAUUCUUGGUACAACUGCUAUCUUCCCCAUGUCCUACGCACAGCAUGUCCCUUCUCCUGAACUUUGACAUGUGUCAAAGAGCAGCAAUUCAAAGUGGCACUUUCACUUUCUUGAAAUGCACCCUGUUAACGUGGAUGGUGAUCCUCAACCACAUCUCUGGCAGGCAGUGAACCAGCCUAGCUGUUUAGCUUACCUUCCCAGACUGACCUCGGUAGCUGCUCCCAACUUGGUCCAUAACUCUACCCUGGACUUCAAGAGACAUUCCCUCUAGCAUAUCUCUAUAACUUGUUAACCAGACUGAUUAGCUCAGAGAACUCUUAAUGGGUAAUAAAGUCUGUUUCUUCUACUUUUCUAAGCCUAAAUUUAAUUGAUCUCCAAAGGGAAUUCUCUAACUUGUCUCUCAGCUCAAAGAAUUUACCUAAGAAACAUUACUAGUAACUGCCCUCCUGCAUCAUAUGAUACCCUAGCAAAAACUGGGUAUUCUGGUAAUACUACUAAGGUACUGACAAGCAACUGGACUUCUUCACUCUGAAGUCCAAUCACUAUGGUCAAAGAAUUCUGUGGGCCACACAGUUAUCAAGUGGGAAGGAGGGACAAAUCACGGACAGGUGUGCAGAAACAUCUGCAUAGAAAUCGAUUAAAAAUAUAUAUACAUAUAGGAUGUACACUAAGUCCUUGGUCAAUUUUAUAUUUUGAUACCUGGGCUAAAAGAUGCCUGACAAUAAAUCAUUUUUAAAAAAAAGAUGCCCAACAAUUGGUAAAUGGCACCUGAAAGCUAAUUGUUCUUUCUUCCAGUCUUUUUGGUUCUAUGCGUUUUUCUACCUAGUUAUUAUAACUGUGUAGCUUAUGUUUUUCACUUAUACCACUAUAGGCAUAAAUUUUCUAUUCUAUUACAUAAUCUGCAUAGCCAUCACUGUGAAUAGCCAUAUAGUAUUUCAUUAAGUGGACAUAUAAGGUAACUGUAUCAUAAAAAGAACUGAGCUAAAAAUCUUAUAUAUAUGUCAGUAUAUAAAUUCCUAUGGUGGGCCAGGCACGAUGGCUUAUGCCUGUAAUCCCAGCACUUUGGGAGGCUGAGGGGGGUUGAUCACGAGGUCAGGAGAUCGAGACCAUCCCGGCUAACACGGUGAAACCCUGUCUCUACUAAAAAUACAAAAAAAUUAGCCGGACAUGGUGGUGGGCGCCUGUAGUCCCAGCUACUCAGGAGGCUGAGGCAGGAGAAUGGCGUGAACCCAGGAGGCGAUUGUCCUGCCUCAGCCUCCCGAGUAGCUGGGAUUACAGGCAUGCACCACCAUGCCUGGCUAAUUCUUGUAUUUUUAGUAGAGACAUGGUUUCACUAUGUUGGUCAGGCUGCUCUCUAACUCCUGACCUCAGGUGACCCACCCUCUUUUGGCCUCCCAAAGUACUGGGAUUACAGGCAUGGGCCACCGCACCCAGCCUAAAUUGUUGAAUAUUUCAAACAGACAAUAAGAAUUUAUUAAAUUUCUUUAAAAAGAGACACAGAGGAAAAGGGUUUCCAAGGUUGAGCACUAGGUGAGGGACAGUGGCCAGGUGACAUUUAGA
rnacentral:lncRNA from 10 species